AGAGUUUAAGGUAACUUACGACAGUUCUUUUUCUGCCGUUCUGCGACCUUCAUUCUGCAAUGUGACGGUAAAAUCACGUAAAAAAUUCCGUACGGAACACCCAAUCAGCAUGGAGCAUGGCUCUUGACUCCAUUAUGUUUGCUCCUUUAUGUAUUGUAUAUUCGUUAUCUAGUAAUACUAGUAAUACUAUACAUACAUACGUGAUACUAUUGUUUAUGUUACAUAUUACAAUUUAGACUUGUAUGAUAAUGAUACAAAAUAUUAUGCAUUUUAAUAGUUUAUUUGUGAUUAUAUGUGAUAUGUAAAAAUUAACAAAAAUAUCCUUUUAUAAAGUUAUAACCGUUAGAAUAAUACAGUGCGUUCACAUAAUGUCUAACAAACGAAAACAAUAUUUAUAUGAUUCUAAAGUUGAGCCAACAGAAUAUUUAAAAAAAAAUUAGGAAGAGCGUAAGAAAUCACAGAGCAGUAACGUUUAUAUCAAAUAAGGAGGAAAUUAAUGAAGAAAUAAUUAUUGAAAACUCACAAGAAAUAGAAGAUGUUAAAAUAGAAGAAACUGAUUCUUUGGUUGAUUUUGUUAUAAAUAACCAAAAGGCAACAAAUCAUGCUUAUGAAACUAAUGAAUUCUCAAGUUGUCUACCACCACAAUCACCACAGCCGAUUGCUUUCGAUGAUUGUACAAACGUACAGGAAGCCGAUUUAUUUUUUCCGUUUGACAGUUCCUCAAACGAUGGAAACUGAACUUUAUGGGAGGAUGAUGUACAUGAUAGAUCAAACAAUAAUCUGUUACAACUAAUAAAUAGUAAAAAUGAUCAAUCUUUAUCUAUAGCAAAUUUAGCGCAAGAAGAAAAUUUUUUUAGUUCUGCUUCGACACGUGUUACUAAAAGCAAGGCUGAACUUCUGCUUAUGGCACUUAAAUUUGCCUUAAGAAUUAAUUUAUCGCAUGAAAACCUAUCGCACUUGAUGCGACUAAUAAACUGUAUAUGUGGAUCAGAAGUUUUACCUCAAACACGUUACUCUAUCGAUAAAUUAUGCAACUCCAAAGAUAAUGUAGUACUUUAUAGUGUUUGCCCUUUUUGCUCUACCGACAUUGGUAAAUUCCCGGAUUUGAGAAAGUUAGUUACAUGCAAAUCGUGCAAUAAAAUCGUUGACGUUUCAAACCCAUCAAAUGCUUGCUAUUUUGCAAUCAUUGAUCUUCUGAAAAAAUUCGAGAUUUAAUAGAAACUAAUGAGGAGUAUUUUGAUUAUAUUAUGAACGUAAGAAAGCAUGAUAAAAAUCAUCUUCGUGAUAUAUAUGAUGGCUUGCUCUAUCGGCAAUUUGUAAAGUCUUUGCCGGCUUCUGAUCGUCAUUCGUAUGUUAUAUUUAAUGAUUAAUGUUACCAGUUCAAACAAGAUUCAAAAACAUGUGUGUAAUGGGGCUGUGGUUCGGAGUCAACAAAACAGAAAUGAGUGUUUUUCUAGAAAAAUUCGUUGAAAGCAUUAAUCGUAUUACUACUGAUGGUAUUGAAUGUACUGUGAAAGAUAAACCAUUAACAAUAAAAUUAUUUGUUUUAACGACUUGCGUUGAUACAGUUGCGCGUGCUCCAAUGAAUGGAACAAGUCAGUUUAAUGCCCAUUUCGGCUGUGAUUGGUGCGAGCAUGAAGGAGUAUAUUAUGAUGGUAGUAUGCGGUAUCCUUAUAUUAUUCCACCGCCACCAAAUAGAACCCGAAGAAUUGAAGGUGUUAAAAUGGCAUCUCCGCUUCUAAAUUUACAAUAUUUUGACAUAGUACGAGACCAGAAUACAUGCAUUGUGUUUUGGCUGGUGUUACGCAGCAACUAACUGAGGAUAUUGUAAAUUUAUUAACUCCAAAUCAGAUUGAUAUUAUGGAUUCUUUUCUCUGUGAAAUGAAAACACCAAAUCAAGUGUGCCGUUUAACAAGGCUAUUAAAGGAUCGUGGGAACUGGAAAACUCGAGAAUGGGAAAAUUGGCUAUUAUAUUAUAGUUUACCAGUUUUAGAAACUGUACUUACUAAGCAUAAGCCACUUUUAAAGCAUUGGUCUUUACUAGUAGAAUCGUUAAAUAUUUGUUUAGAAACUGAUAUUAAUUUUGAUAAUUUAAAUAAGGUUAAAGUCAUGCUACAUGAAUUUGUCUCUCAAGUCGAACAGCAUUAUUCGUUAACUUCGAUGACAUACAAUGUACAUCAACUGUUGCAUAUUCCUGGGAGCGUUUGUGAGUGGGGACCAUUGUGGGCCCAGCUGCAUUUUCCUUUGAGUCGGCAAAUCACCAUUUACUGAAUGCAAUAAAAUCCGCAAAAGGAGUCAUAAUGCAAAUAAUAAGAAACAUUAAUCUCCAACAAUCCGUUAACAUUCUCGAAGAAAUUGUUUAUCCUAAAUGUUCUCCAAUAGUGCUUAAUUAUUGUCAAAUAAUUGAUGGCCAGCAGGUUCAAAAAAACUUCAAACCUAGUUGAACCUAGAACAUUGACAAAUCAAUAUUUUCAACAUUAAAUGUAUCUAAAAAGACUUAAAUGUACUCAAAAAUUCUCUUUAAAGGUUGUUUGUUUGCUAGCUCAAUAAAAGUUAAUACUCGCUCUUGCAAUUACUAUGCACAGUUGGAAAGUUUGCAAUUUAUUAAGAUAAAUGGUUAUUUACUCGACCUUGAGAAUAAAAACGAACUGACUCUUUGUCAAAUGAUUAAAGUCAAAGAUAGUAGCAAUACAAGUUCAAUCAAAAAUGUUUUGAAAAUAUGCGAUAAAACUGUAAUCGUCCAAUCUCAUGAAAUUCACAGAAUUUGCGUAUUUCUUGAAAAUUCAAAAAAUUCAUACAUCAUUCCACUUUCAAAUCAUUAUUAUUACUAAUGUAAAAAACCUUAUUUUAAUAGCGUUUUACACAAUAAACAUAAUUUAUUUGUAGACGUCUUUGUUAACAUUGUAUAUAGAUUUGUAAUAAAAUUUUGUAAUAAAACUCAUUAUACUUGAAAUCAUACAAAAUGUAUGGUUUUUUUAAAAAA